AUGAACGCUGGCGGCGUGCUUCACCCAUGCCAGUCGCACGAAGCACUUUAUUUGAUUUCCUUCGGGACUGAUUAUUUUGUGACUGAGUGGCGGACGGGUGAGUAACGCGUGGGUAACCUGCCUUGUACAGGGGGAUAACAGUUGGAAACGGCUGCUAAUACCGCAUAAGCGCACAGCAUCGCAUGAUGCAGUGUGAAAAACUCCGGUGGUAUAAGAUGGACCCGCGUUGGAUUAGCUAGUUGGUGAGGUAACGGCCCACCAAGGCGACGAUCCAUAGCCGACCUGAGAGGGUGACCGGCCACAUUGGGACUGAGACACAGCCCAAACUCCUACGGGAGGCAGCAGUGGGGAAUAUUGCACAAUGGGCGAAAGCCUGGUGCAGCGACGCCGCGUGAGCGAAGAAGUAUUUCGGUAUGUAAAGCUCUAUCAGCAGGGAAGAUAAUGACGGUACCUGACUAAGAAGCACCGGCUAAAUACGUG
rnacentral:rRNA from 1 species